GGCAGGGCCUACUUUUCCUCCUACAUGUAUGGUAUUUUCUUCAGCUCCAUUUCAGUAAUGUCUGUACCUGCUAUGACCUUGUACUAACUGGCCCAAGUGAGAGCCCAAGGUUGUUCUGUCUCCACCCCUGUCCCCAGCACCGAGGUUACAGGCUUCUCUGGCUCACUGCAUGUCCCUGGCAACGCACCGUGUUUUCUUCAUUCCCCAUUUCUGUAGGAAGCAUCUAUCUUUCAGGACAAAUGCCAAAGACCACUGAAAACUGGAAUAGUUAAAUGGUGGCAAAAAGAAAAACCUAUCCUUGAGAACUUCAAAAUAAAGACACAAGACCUACCCUAAAUCAGAUUUCCAGCACUGAAGAGGAAUAUCCUUGAUGUUAUUGCUGGCCCGUGGGAUGCAGUUGGGGAUUUCUGUGCCCACUUUAACAGAUGGCUGGAACCAACUUAAGAGCUUCAGGUCCCACCUCUUGGCAUGCCCAGGAAAAUCAAUGUAAGCUGAGGAAAGACUGGCUUUAGCUCACUCUUGGGGAAGUUUUGGUCCUUAGAGACUUGGAUCUGUGACUUUUUGAUCCCUGCAUGGGUUCCUGGCUUCCUGGGGUUUCACCAUUAUCGAAAAGUGGCAGCAAAUAGGAGAAUCAGCCAUUGCCUGAUUAUGACUCCCAGGAAAGUAAAGCUGAAAGAACAACAUCUCCAGAGUACUAGCAUCAUCAAAGUGGAUUCAGGAGAGGAGAGCCAUUGUAGAAGAGACAUAAUGACUGGGUGAGAACGGUGAUAAGCUUCUUGAUUUGCCAUCAAGAUGUGAAGAACUCCAGAUGCCUGCUUCCAUCAUGAUGAGCUCCACUGUGCCUUCCCUGAGGUGGUGAAUUACCUUUUGAAGCUUUGAG